AUUGAACGCUGGCGGCAGGCCUAACACAUGCAAGUCGAACGAGUGGCGGACGGGUGAGUAAUGUCUGGGAAACUGCCUGAUGGAGGGGGAUAACUACUGGAAACGGUAGCUAAUACCGCAUACCAUCGGAUGUGCCCAUAUGGGAUUAGCUAGUAGGGGGGGUAACGGCUCACCUAGGCGACGAUCCCUAGCUGGUCUGAGAGGAUGACCAGCCACACUGGAACUGAUACACGGUCCAGACGCCUACGGGAGGAAGCAGUGGGGAAUAGUGCACAAUGGGCGCAAGCCUGAUGCAGCCAUGCCGCGUGUAUGAAGAAGGCCUUCGGGUUGUAAAGUACUUUCAGCGGGGAGGCGUUACUCGCAGAAGAAGCACCGGCUAACUCCGUGCCAGCAGCCGCGGUAAUAC
rnacentral:rRNA from 1 species